rnacentral:rRNA from 1 species
AUUGAACGCUGGCGGCAGGCUUAACACAUGCAAGUCGAACGAGUGGCGGACGGGUGAGUAAUGCUUGGGAAUCUGGCUUAUGGAGGGGGAUAACGACGGGAAACUGUCGCUAAUACCGCGUACCAUAGGAUGAGCCCAAGUGGGAUAAUGUAGUUGGUGGGGGAAUGGCCUACCAAGCCGCCGCUCUAUAGCUGGUCUGAGAGCAUGACCAGCCACACAGGUACUGAUACAAGGCCCGGACUCCUACGGUAGGCAGCAGCGGGGAAUAUUGCGCAAUGGGGGCAACCUGACGCAGCCAUGCCGCGUGAAUGAAGAAGGCCUUCGGGUUGUAAAGUUUUUUCGGUGCCGAGGUGUUAAUCACAGAAGAAGCACCGGCUAACUCCGUGCCAGCAGCCGCGGUAAUGC